GAAAUGCCAAAUAGACUGGAACCAGUGUCAGCAGCACGUACACGUAAUAGGUCCAACUUUCGGUAAUAUUUUCCAUCAUUUCUUAUAUAAUAUUUGCAUAUUCCUUACUGCACUGCAAAAGUUUCCCAGCUGCUGUCAACUACAACGCCUCCAAAAACACUUUGC